CACCCGAUAGCACAUGGAGUGCGCCUGCGAACAAUUGCUGUUCAACGAUCGACAUGAUGUUUGAAAGCAGGAGCCCCCGAUCGAUCCGGGGUCGGGUGA